GAUGAACGCUAGCGGCAGGCCUAAUACAUGCAAGUCGGACGGGAUCCAUCGGAGAGCUUGCUCGAAGAUGGUGAGAGUGGCGCACGGGUGCGUAACGCGUGAGCAACCUACCUCUAUCAGGGGGAUAGCCUCUCGAAAGAGAGAUUAACACCGCAUAAUAUAAUCUUCCGGCAUCGUUAGAUUAUUAAAUAUUUAUAGGAUAGAGAUGGGCUCGCGUGACAUUAGCUAGUUGGUAAGGUAACGGCUUACCAAGGCGACGAUGUCUAGGGGCUCUGAGAGGAGAAUCCCCCACACUGGUACUGAGACACGGACCAGACUCCUACGGGAGGCAGCAGUAAGGAAUAUUGGUCAAUGGGCGGAAGCCUGAACCAGCCAUGCCGCGUGCAGGACGACUGCCCUAUGGGUUGUAAACUGCUUUUGUCAGGAAUAAACCUAAAUACGUGUAUUUAGCUGAAUGUACUGGAAGAAUAAGGAUCGGCUAACUCCGUGCCAGCCGCCGCGGUAAGAC
rnacentral:rRNA from 1 species